GAAGGUAGAGCUCAGUGGUAAAGCACAUGCUUAGCAUGGAUGUGGUCCUGGGUUCAAUCCCCAGUCCCUCCA
rnacentral:tRNA from 1 species